CCUGUUUGAGCUCUCUUCAUGUUCCAUAAUAUCCUUAAAAAUCAGUGCCCAGAUCAGCACCACGUGUUCAAGAAAGCGUGUUCAUCACUGACCGUGACAUGAUCUGCAGCAGAUUAUUUAUUCUUUUUGUCCUUACGCCAUUACAGAUAGCUCUGACUUCACCCACUAAAUGAAUUACAACUAAAAUGUGGGGAUAUGAAUGAUGUCUAUUUGGCCAUUGUCUUCAUUGAUUUAU